AUUCCAGCUUCAAUAGCGUAUAUUAAAGUUGUUGCAGUUAAAAAGCUCGUAGUUGAAUUUCUGUACAGUCCCGGUUCUGGCUUCGGUCAAGCCGUGGAUUGUGCAUCCGCUUGCAAAUCUAGCUCGGCCUUCACUGGUCGACUAGGGGAGUAAGCCCUUUACUUUGAAAAAAUUAGAGUGUUUCAGGCAGGCAAUGGCUCGAAUACAUUAGCAUGGAAUAAUGGAAUAGGACUUUUGUCCAUUUGGUUGGUUAUUGGACAUGAGUAAUGAUUAAAAGGGACAGUUGGGGGCAUUAGUAUUUAAUAGUCAGAGGUGAAAUUCUUGGAUUUAUUAAAGACUAACUUAUGCGAAAGCAUUUGCCAAGGAUGUUUUCAUCA
rnacentral:rRNA from 1 species